rnacentral:lncRNA from 1 species
CGGGUUCCAAGACCCCUGCGUAGACUCUGUCUAUAGGUGGAAGAAGGCCUUUGCCCCGAGGCAUCCAGAGGUGUACCUAAUUCCUCUGCCUAGAAAGUGUGCUGGAAUUACUGCCUGGCUUCUGAUGAAUAGGGCGUAUUGAGAGUGAUGCUUUGUGAGUUCUGAGGCUAGGUCAUAGAAAGGAUUGAACUUAUUCCUGAAUGUUGCUCUUGGAUCACUUGCUUUUUUGGGAACCACCAGCCAUGUCAUGAGGACACUCAAGCAACCCUGCAGAGAAGCACAUGUGUGGAGAGGCACUUCUUGGAAAGGAGGCCAACUUGCCAGAACCAACUAAUUUGUCAUGUGAGUGAGUCAUUUUGGAAGCAGAUCCUCUACCCUCAGUCAGGCCUUCCGAUGAUUUCAGCCCCCAGCCUUUGAGUCUGCCCCAAACACCAUGAGUAGAGACAAGCCCUUCCCACUGUGUCCACCCUGGCUGAAUUCCAGACCGUUAAAAAAACAAGAGAAAAUAAAUUAUUAUUAGUGUUUUGAGUC